UACGUAGGGUGCAAGCGUUGUCCGGAAUUAUUGGGCGUAAAGAGCUCGUAGGCGGUCUGUCGCGUCGGCUGUGAAAUCCCGGGGCUCAACCCCGGGCCUGCAGUCGAUACGGGCAGACUAGAGUGCGGUAGGGGAGACUGGAAUUCCUGGUGUAGCGGUGAAAUGCGCAGAUAUCAGGAGGAACACCGGCGGCGAAGGCGGGUCUCUGGGCCGUAACUGACGCUGAGGAGCGAAAGCGUGGGGAGCAAACAGG
rnacentral:rRNA from 1 species